rfam:Daedalea quercina L-15889 unplaced genomic scaffold DAEQTscaffold_7, whole genome shotgun sequence.
GGGCGUUUGGCACAGUGGUAGCGCGCACGCUUUGCACUUGUCAACUUGCGUGAGGACCAGGGUUCAAUCCCCUGAACGUCCA